UACGGAGGAUGCAAGCGUUAUCCGGAAUGAUUGGGCGUAAAGCGUCCGCAGGUGGCUAUGUAAGUCUGCUGUUAAAGAGUCUAGCUCAACUAGAUAAGAGCAGUGGAAACUACAAGGCUAGAGUACGUUCGGGGCAGAGGGAAUUCCUGGUGUAGCGGUGAAAUGCGUAGAGAUCAGGAAGAACACCAGUGGCGAAGGCGCUCUGCUAGGCCGUAACUGACACUGAGGGACGAAAGCGUGGGGAGCAAACAGG
rnacentral:rRNA from 1 species